rnacentral:rRNA from 1 species
UUGCUCUUCAACGAGGAAUGCCUAGUAAGCGCAUGUCAUCAGCAUGCGUUGAUUACGUCCCUGCCCUUUGUACACACCGCCCGUCGCUACUACCGAUUGAAUGGCUCAGUGAGGCCUCCGGACUGGCUUGAGGAGGUUGGCAACGACCACCUUGAGCCGGAAAGUUCGUCAAACUCGGUCAUUUAGAGGAAGUAAAAGUCGUAACAAGGUUUCCGUAGGUGAACCUGCGGAAGGAUCAUUACCGAGAGUUGUAGGCUUCUGUCUACCAUCUCUUACCCAUGUCUUUUGCGUACUUAACGUUUCCUCGGCAGGUCCGCCUGCCGUAGGACAAUUAUAAACCAUUUGCAGUUGCAGUCAGCGUCUGAAAAACAUAAUAAUUACAACUUUUAACAACGGAUCUCUUGGUUCUGGCAUCGAUGAAGAACGCAGCGAAAUGCGAUAAGUAGUGUGAAUUGCAGAAUUCAGUGAAUCAUCGAAUCUUUGAACGCACAUUGCGCCCCUUGGUAUUCCAUGGGGCAUGCCUGUUCGAGCGUCAUUUGUACCUUCAAGCUUUGCUUGGUGUUGGGUGUUUGUCUCGCCUCUGCGUGUAGACUCGCCUUAAAACAAUUGGCAGCCGGCGUAUUGAUUUCGGAGCGCAGUACAUCUCGCGCUUUGCACUCAUAACGACGACGUCCAAAAGUACANUUUUUACACUCUUGACCUCGGAUCAGGUAGGGAUACCCGCUGAACUUAAGCAUAUCAAUAAGCGGAGGA